rnacentral:rRNA from 1 species
AGCCACAGCCAUAUCACCCUGCAGCCCAUGACCGGUUACUUACUGAAGCUAAGCAGGGCUGAGCCUGGUCAGUACCUGGAUGGGAGACCACUAGGGAACACUAGGUUGCUGUUGGAA